UAUGAUGCUGCAUCAUGCCGGGCAUCCCAGCGUCUCUUGCCGUCUCCACUGCCGCACCAUGUCAAUUACAAACAGCCUGCAGGGCAUGUACUUCACAAAGCACAACAGAAGAGGUAAAUGAAGAACAGCAAAUGUCUUCUGGGGUCCUACAAUCCACUCCAAAGAAGGCUCCAGUAAAGAGCCAUCAGGCCUCCACAUUAGCAUCACAGCUGAAGCUUGUUCUAACCAGCCCUGAACAUCCCCUCCCCUGAGAAAGACCAUCAACCUCUGGAGCUUCCCUGCCGUUGGGUCUGAAUUAGAGUAGCAAAUCCACCUCCACACAGACAUCCAACUCAGAUUUGGAGGCUGGAUCAGCGGGAGACCCCGGUCAGUUGUGUUCCAGGAGGUGGAUUGUGAAUGAGCCCCAACCUCUGCAGCUCCUUUGUAAAUUGUCAUCAAUGUGGUGUUGUCAUCAGUGAUAAGAAACUCAUCAGCUCUGGGUCCAAGAUAAGGACAGAGUGGAACUGUCUGGCUGGGCACAGUGGGGUGUGGCAGUCUUGUCCUGAUGUUAGAGGAUUGACAGAAGACAACCUCUUGUCUUCAGCAGCCAUUCUUUUCACUGGCACAACAGAGACUGAAAUUUCAGAGUGGGCUAAAGUUUUGAAAUUACAGUUGCCACAGAAGACAGCUUAUUUUUCAGAGCAGUCUGCGUACCUCAUACCAGUGGUUCAUGAAGCCCAUACAGAACUGCUGACGUACAUGAGGGAAAUUUUAAGUGCCGGUGGAAAGUUUGAUGUCUGUGGG